rnacentral:misc_RNA from 1 species
GAAAUGCGAUAAGUAAUGUGAAUUUCAGAAUUCAGUGAAUCAUCGAAUCUUUGAACGCACCUUGCGCUCCUUGGUAUUCCUUGGAGCAUGCCUGUUUGAGUAUCAUGAAAUCUUCAAAGUAAAUCUUUUGUUAACUCAAUUGGUUUCUACUUUGGUAUUGGAGGUCUUUGCAGCUUCACACCUGCUCCUCUUUGUUCAUUAGCUGGAUCUCAGUGUUAUGCUUGGUUCCACUCGGCGUGAUAAGUUAUCUAUCGCUGAGGACACUGUAAAAGGUGGCCAAGGUAAAUGCAGAUGAACCGCUUCUAAUAGUCCAUUGACUUGGACAAUACUUUUAUGAUCUGAUCUCAAAUCAGGUAGGACUACCCGCUGAACUUAAGC